rnacentral:rRNA from 1 species
UACGUAGGCAGCGAGCGUUGUUCGGAGUUACUGGGCGUAAAGGGUGCGUAGGCGGGUCUUUAAGUCAGGGGGGAAAUCCUGGAGCUCAACUCCAGAACUGCCUUUGAUACUGAGGAUCUUGAGUUCGGGAGAGGUGAGUGGAACUGCGAGUGUAGAGGUGAAAUUCGUAGAUAUUCGCAAGAACACCAGUGGCGAAGGCGGCUCACUGGCCCGAUACUGACGCUGAGGCACGAAAGCGUGGGGAGCGAACAGG